rnacentral:rRNA from 1 species
UGCAGUCGAGCGGAGUGAUGGUGCUUGCACUAUCACUUAGCGGCGGACGGGUGAGUAAUGCUUAGGAAUCUGCCUAUUAGUGGGGGACAACAUUUCGAAAGGAAUGCUAAUACCGCAUACGUCCUACGGGAGAAAGCAGGGGAUCUUCGGACCUUGCGCUAAUAGAUGAGCCUAAGUCGGAUUAGCUAGUUGGUGGGGUAAAGGCCUACCAAGGCGACGAUCUGUAGCGGGUCUGAGAGGAUGAUCCGCCACACUGGGACUGAGACACGGCCCAGACUCCUACGGGAGGCAGCAGUGGGGAAUAUUGGACAAUGGGCGCAAGCCUGAUCCAGCCAUGCCGCGUGUGUGAAGAAGGCCUUAUGGUUGUAAAGCACUUUAAGCGAGGAGGAGGCUACUGAAGUUAAUACCUUCAGAUAGUGGACGUUACUCGCAGAAUAAGCACCGGCUAACUCUGUGCCAGCAGCCGCGGUAAUACAGAGGGUGCAAGCGUUAAUCGGAUUUACUGGGCGUAAAGCGCGCGUAGGCGGCUAAUUAAGUCAAAUGUGAAAUCCCCGAGCUUAACUUGGGAAUUGCAUUCGAUACUGGUUAGCUAGAGUGUGGGAGAGGAUGGUAGAAUUCCAGGUGUAGCGGUGAAAUGCGUAGAGAUCUGGAGGAAUACCGAUGGCGAAGGCAGCCAUCUGGCCUAACACUGACGCUGAGGUGCGAAAGCAUGGGGAGCAAACAGGAUUAGAUACCCUGGUAGUCCAUGCCGUAAACGAUGUCUACUAGCCGUUGGGGCCUUUGAGGCUUUAGUGGCGCAGCUAACGCGAUAAGUAGACCGCCUGGGGAGUACGGUCGCAAGACUAAAACUCAAAUGAAUUGACGGGGGCCCGCACAAGCGGUGGAGCAUGUGGUUUAAUUCGAUGCAACGCGAAGAACCUUACCUGGCCUUGACAUAGUAAGAACUUUCCAGAGAUGGAUUGGUGCCUUCGGGAACUUACAUACAGGUGCUGCAUGGCUGUCGUCAGCUCGUGUCGUGAGAUGUUGGGUUAAGUCCCGCAACGAGCGCAACCCUUUUCCUUAUUUGCCAGCGAGUAAUGUCGGGAACUUUAAGGAUACUGCCAGUGACAAACUGGAGGAAGGCGGGGA